GUACUCAUCUCUCUCUCUCUCUCUCUCUCAACGGCGUAGGGUAGCAAAGGAGGCGGCGUGCAGCAGCGGCAUCAUCUCUCUCAGUCGCUCAUCUCUCUCUCUCUCAGCGACGUCUCUCUCUUUCUCUCUCGCGCACUCACUCAGUCUCAAUCACCUCUCUCUCUCCUCCCCUUGUUCUUAUUUACGGCUGAUUAACUGAAUGCCGAAUCAAACCCUUGUUCUCAUCUCCAUCUCUUGUCUCUUGUCUCUCGUCCUUCGUUCUCCCUCGCCCUAAUUUAUAAACCCUAACAGGUUUUUUUUCUACACAGUGCAGUCGUUGCUCUCAAUCACUAGUGCCACUAGCUUCGCUAGUUUGAACUACAUAAGCUAAGAGCCAAAGGUGGGAAGAAAACUGAUACUGUUGUUAACAUGAUUUCCAAAGAAGAGUCAAAGAAAAAGAUAACAAAACAGAAAGAAGAAAGGGUCAUGUUCCAGAGGUGCACAUUGUUCAAAAAGGUGUUGUCCAACAACUAAUUCAGAUGAUUCAGUCCCCACACGCACCAGUGAGAGAGUUAACAUUUGCAUUGGGAGCUUAGCACAGGUUUUUGUCCUAAUUGAGAUGUUUUUGUUUUGUUUAAAAGAAAAAAGGUUUAAUUUGAAUGAGGUCCAAAUAUCUUGGUUUUUCUUUUUAAUAUUCAUUUUCCUUAAAGAGAUUGAAAAGGUUUUGUGAAAUUUUCUCUUUGUGAGCAAACAGUUGGCCGAUUGGCCAAAAUGUAGUGUGCGGUGAUCUUUUGAAUUUUCCUUUAAUUGGUAAAUUUCUAAUUGGAUUGUAGUGGUGAA